rnacentral:rRNA from 1 species
UACGUAGGGUCCAAGCGUUAAUCGGAAUUACUGGGCGUAAAGCGUGCGCAGGCGGCUUCGCAAGUCAGACGUGAAAUCCCCGGGCUUAACCUGGGAACUGCAUUGGUGACUGCAUCGCUCGAGUAUGGCGGAGGGGGGUAGAAUUCCACGUGUAGCAGUGAAAUGCGUAGAGAUGUGGAGGAAUACCGAUGGCGAAGGCAGCCCCCUGGGUCAAUACUGACGCUCAUGCACGAAAGCGUGGGGAGCAAACAGG